ACUUAACCUCGGAUCAGGAGGAUACCGCUGAACUUAAGCUUUAAGGGCGGGGAGCUUUUUUUCGUGGGAGUCCAAGACAGGGGGGAACCACAUGAAUUAUGAAAUCAUAGCGAGGAU
rnacentral:rRNA from 1 species